ACUACCUUAGGAUUGAGGAUGCGAUUAAUGGAAGGCAUCCAUAACAAAAUUUGCUGUUUAUUGAGAUAUACUCUCAAUAAAUAGCAAAAACAAAGAUUCUGGAUGUCUGGGAAAUGGAAAGGAAUUCGGACAAGGAACGGGAGGUAGAAGGGAUGCUGAGAAGGAUUAAGUGAGCGUUUGGAUAGUUGUGGGGAAAAACCCACGAUUUAGGCCGGGCAAACUAUUGUCCUACCAUUCAGUUGAGUUAUUUUUCCAUACCUUGGGAAGGUCAAUGACCCUAACAAUAACCAGCGUAGGUUGCCGACCUACCUCAACGAUUUUUGCCGAAACUCCUAUCUGCUGGAGCGUCCGGUGUACCAAAGUUAAGGAUCCUGGGAGGUACACUUCUAGAUAUGUGGAUCGGAGGUGCUCGUCAGAGAUUGGCGAGAAAAAACCCGAGCUAGUACCUAUGUCCUCUAUUAAGCCUAAAGUGCAUACAAAAAAACUAUCUACCUAUAUUUAAUUGGGAGUACCUACUAAUUUAAAUGUAUUUUGUUUUUCAGGAAUCCUGCUAUGCAACGAAUCAACACUUAUCAUUAAUGUCCCCCAUCUCUAUCCGCCACCACUACGAAUUUCUACGUUACAUCAUACAAGUGAUUGUUGGUGAGUGAUCUUUUUUAAAACCUUAUUUUGGAUUGGUUAGAUUAUAGUUAAACAUAAAAAUUAAUAAAUUAAUAAAUAAGUUAAUAAAUAAAUAAAUAGCAGAUAAAUUAGUUAAAUCAGUAACUUUUGUAAAUAUCACAGUUCGUAGUUUUCAAUCAUUGCGGAUAGUAUUUAAGUUAGUAAAAUUAGUAAAUUAAGUAUCACAAGUUUUAAAAGAUAAGUUACUUAAGCUAAAAUAAAAAAGAAAAUAUAAAUAUCACAGAUGAAAAAAAAAUUAAAGCUAUCAGUCUUAAUAUGAUUAAUAAAGUUAGUUAAAAGUAUCACAGAUGGAAUGGUCAAACCAUUUUAUCACAGAUAAAGAACAAUUUUAGAAGCUAUUAGCAUAAGUAAAAUUAAUAAAGUAAGUAAAAAUAUCACAGAUGGGGUGGUUGAACCAUUUUAUCACAGAUAAAGAAAAAUUUAAAAGCUAUUAGUCUUAGUAAAAUUAAUAAAAUAAGUAAAAAUUUCACAGAUGGGAUGGUUGAACCAUUUUAUCACAAAUGUUUAAUAAAUUAAGUUAAAAUACUAAUAAAUAAAUAAAUAAGAACAUUUAACAUUAAGUAACAUUUAGAACAUAAGGCAUGCAAUGAAUAUAAUAGAUACAUAUAUACUUAAAAUAUCCGUGUUUGUUUAACAGUUCCAGGUACUUUUGGUUUUUGUUAUUGGUUGUUUCGGUUUUUUUCUUUUUCGAACUGUUGCUAAAUAAAUAUAAUAAGUUAUACUCACGGAUAAUUUAAUACAUUAACAAAUAACAAACAGAAACGAUACGAAUUAGCAACAAUGAUAAUUACGGCUUGUAUUUAAAACAAACGAACGUGUUUUUGAAGCAUUCUGCUCAUUGUUUUAAAUCUUUGGCGUGAUAUAUUCCAAGUCUUUUACCGGUUAAGUUUUCUAACUCAUACAUUUGAUUUCCUAUUCGUUUAACUACGCGGCAUUUAAUAUACUUGGGUGAGAGUUUCGCUGAUAAACCUUUCGACGAAUCGCUCAUCACAAAAUUUUUCCGAUACACCUCUUGUCCGGGUGAAAAUUGAACGUUUUUAGUACGGACAUUAUAAAUUUUUGAGGAUUUAUCGUUGGCUUUAAUUAUGUUUUCGCGAAUAUGAUUUCGUAUACACUGCAAUCGACCUUGUCGGGGAAGAGUUAACAGCUCGCUGUCGUCCUGCGCAUGCAACUUCUUUGCAAGUUCAUAACUGCUACCGUGCGUCAUCAUGUUAGUGCCGAAUAAUUCAUAAUACGGUGACACGCCGGUAGAGCUAUGAACCGCGCUUCUUAACGCACACGCGAUGUCGCUAAGGUGCGUAUCCCAAUACCUUUGAUCGUCUUUUAGGUACGAUCGAAUAGCAGUCAACAAGGAGCGGUUCACCCUCUCCGACGCAUUCGAUUGAGGUGCAUAGUGAGCGGU